GACGAACCGUGCGAACGUUAUUCGGAAUCACUGGGCUUAAAGCGCGUGUAGGCGGAUGGGAACGUCGGUAGUUGAAAGCCCCGGCUCAACCGGGGAAGUGGUGCCGAAACGACCCGUCUGGAGGGACGUAGGGGGACCUGGAACUUCCGGUGGAGCGGUGAAAUGCGUUGAGAUCGGAAGGAACGCCCGUGGCGAAAGCGAGGUCCUGGACGUCUACUGACGCUGA
rnacentral:rRNA from 1 species